rnacentral:rRNA from 1 species
GGUUAAGCGACUAAGCGUACACGGUGGAUGCCCUGGCAGUCAGAGGCGAUGAAGGACGUGCUAAUCUGCGAUAAGCGUCGGUGAGGUGAUAUGAACCGUUAUAACCGGCGAUUUCCGAAUGGGGAAACCCAGUGUGAUUCGUCACACUAUCAUUAACUGAAUCCAUAGGUUAAUGAGGCGAACCGGGGGAACUGAAACAUCUAAGUACCCCGAGGAAAAGAAAUCAACCGAGAUUCCCCCAGUAGCGGCGAGCGAACGGGGAGCAGCCCAGAGCCUGAAUCAGUGUGUGUGUUAGUGGAAGCGUCUGGAAAGGCGCGCGAUACAGGGUGACAGCCCCGUACACAAAAAUGCACAUAUUGUGAGCUCGAUGAGUAGGGCGGGACACGUGGUAUCCUGUCUGAAUAUGGGGGACCAUCCUCCAAGGCUAAAUACUCCUGACUGACCGAUAGUGAACCAGUACCGUGAGGGAAAGGCGAAAAGAACCCCGGCGAGGGGAGUGAAAAAGAACCUGAAACCGUGUACGUACAAGCAGUGGGAGCACGCUUAGGCGUGUGACUGCGUACCUUUUGUAUAAUGGGUCAGCGACUUAUAUUCUGUAGCAAGGUUAACCGAAUAGGGGAGCCGAAGGGAAACCGAGUCUUAACUGGGCGUUAAGUUGCAGGGUAUAGACCCGAAACCCGGUGAUCUAGCCAUGGGCAGGUUGAAGGUUGGGUAACACUAACUGGAGGACCGAACCGACUAAUGUUGAAAAAUUAGCGGAUGACUUGUGGCUGGGGGUGAAAGGCCAAUCAAACCGGGAGAUAGCUGGUUCUCCCCGAAAGCUAUUUAGGUAGCGCCUCGUGAAUUCAUCUCCGGGGGUAGAGCACUGUUUCGGCAAGGGGGUCAUCCCGACUUACCAACCCGAUGCAAACUGCGAAUACCGGAGAAUGUUAUCACGGGAGACACACGGCGGGUGCUAACGUCCGUCGUGAAGAGGGAAACAACCCAGACCGCCAGCUAAGGUCCCAAAGUCAUGGUUAAGUGGGAAACGAUGUGGGAAGGCCCAGACAGCCAGGAUGUUGGCUUAGAAGCAGCCAUCAUUUAAAGAAAGCGUAAUAGCUCACUGGUCGAGUCGGCCUGCGCGGAAGAUGUAACGGGGCUAAACCAUGCACCGAAGCUGCGGCAGCGACGCUUAUGCGUUGUUGGGUAGGGGAGCGUUCUGUAAGCCUGUGAAGGUGUGCUGUGAGGCAUGCUGGAGGUAUCAGAAGUGCGAAUGCUGACAUAAGUAACGAUAAAGCGGGUGAAAAGCCCGCUCGCCGGAAGACCAAGGGUUCCUGUCCAACGUUAAUCGGGGCAGGGUGAGUCGACCCCUAAGGCGAGGCCGAAAGGCGUAGUCGAUGGGAAACAGGUUAAUAUUCCUGUACUUGGUGUUACUGCGAAGGGGGGACGGAGAAGGCUAUGUUGGCCGGGCGACGGUUGUCCCGGUUUAAGCGUGUAGGCUGGUUUUCCAGGCAAAUCCGGAAAAUCAAGGCUGAGGCGUGAUGACGAGGCACUACGGUGCUGAAGCAACAAAUGCCCUGCUUCCAGGAAAAGCCUCUAAGCAUCAGGUAACAUCAAAUCGUACCCCAAACCGACACAGGUGGUCAGGUAGAGAAUACCAAGGCGCUUGAGAGAACUCGGGUGAAGGAACUAGGCAAAAUGGUGCCGUAACUUCGGGAGAAGGCACGCUGAUAUGUAGGUGAAGUCCCUUGCGGAUGGAGCUGAAAUCAGUCGAAGAUACCAGCUGGCUGCAACUGUUUAUUAAAAACACAGCACUGUGCAAACACGAAAGUGGACGUAUACGGUGUGACGCCUGCCCGGUGCCGGAAGGUUAAUUGAUGGGGUUAGCGCAAGCGAAGCUCUUGAUCGAAGCCCCGGUAAACGGCGGCCGUAACUAUAACGGUCCUAAGGUAGCGAAAUUCCUUGUCGGGUAAGUUCCGACCUGCACGAAUGGCGUAAUGAUGGCCAGGCUGUCUCCACCCGAGACUCAGUGAAAUUGAACUCGCUGUGAAGAUGCAGUGUACCCGCGGCAAGACGGAAAGACCCCGUGAACCUUUACUAUAGCUUGACACUGAACAUUGAGCCUUGAUGUGUAGGAUAGGUGGGAGGCUUAGAAGUGUGGACGCCAGUCUGCAUGGAGCCGACCUUGAAAUACCACCCUUUAAUGUUUGAUGUUCUAACGUUGACCCGUAAUCCGGGUUGCGGACAGUGUCUGGUGGGUAGUUUGACUGGGGCGGUCUCCUCCUAAAGAGUAACGGAGGAGCACGAAGGUUGGCUAAUCCUGGUCGGACAUCAGGAGGUUAGUGCAAUGGCAUAAGCCAGCUUGACUGCGAGCGUGACGGCGCGAGCAGGUGCGAAAGCAGGUCAUAGUGAUCCGGUGGUUCUGAAUGGAAGGGCCAUCGCUCAACGGAUAAAAGGUACUCCGGGGAUAACAGGCUGAUACCGCCCAAGAGUUCAUAUCGACGGCGGUGUUUGGCACCUCGAUGUCGGCUCAUCACAUCCUGGGGCUGAAGUAGGUCCCAAGGGUAUGGCUGUUCGCCAUUUAAAGUGGUACGCGAGCUGGGUUUAGAACGUCGUGAGACAGUUCGGUCCCUAUCUGCCGUGGGCGCUGGAGAACUGAGGGGGGCUGCUCCUAGUACGAGAGGACCGGAGUGGACGCAUCACUGGUGUUCGGGUUGUCAUGCCAAUGGCACUGCCCGGUAGCUAAAUGCGGAAGAGAUAAGUGCUGAAAGCAUCUAAGCACGAAACUUGCCCCGAGAUGAGUUCUCCCUGACUCCUUGAGAGUCCUGAAGGAACGUUGAAGACGACGACGUUGAUAGGCCGGGUGUGUAAGCGCAGCGAUGCGUUGAGCUAACCGGUACUAAUGAACCGUGAGGCUUAACCUU